rnacentral:rRNA from 1 species
GACGAACGCUGGCGGCGUGCUUAACACAUGCAAGUCGAACGGAAAGGCCCUGCUUUUGUGGGGUGCUCGAGUGGCGAACGGGUGAGUAACACGUGAGUAACCUGCCCUUGACUUUGGGAUAACUUCAGGAAACUGGGGCUAAUACCGGAUAGGAGCUCCUGCUGCAUGGUGGGGGUUGGAAAGUUUCGGCGGUUGGGGAUGGACUCGCGGCUUAUCAGCUUGUUGGUGGGGUAGUGGCUUACCAAGGCUUUGACGGGUAGCCGGCCUGAGAGGGUGACCGGCCACAUUGGGACUAAGAUACGGCCCAUACUCCUACGGGAGGCAGCAGUGGGGAAUAUUGCACAAUGGGCGGAAGCCUGAUGCAGCAACGCCGCGUGCGGGAUGACGGCCUUCGGGUUGUAAACCGCUUUCGCCUGUGACGAAGCGUUAGUGACGGUAAUGGGUAAAGAAGCACCGGCUAACUACGUG